AUGGACGGCGAGUCAUUUUUCGAUAGGAUGGUUUCCCAGCUUCGGUCGACAUCCAAGUACUACACUGGAUAUCCCAAGGAUCUAGGGCCAUCAAGAAUCAUACCGUUCACAUCAGAGCGUCAGUUUGUGCAGCUAUUACAUGAAGGACGGCCUGUAGUUGUGGCCUUUACCAUUAAGUGCACUUAUACACAGCAUCUUGACAAAGUACUGGAGGAAGCUGCUGCUACAUUUUAUCCUCAUAUAAAGUUUGUUCGGGUGGAAUGCCCAAAGUAUCCUGGGUUUUGCCUCACGAGGCAAAAGACUGAGUAUCCAUUUCUUGAAGUAUUUUACAACCCAGAACAGGCUGCUAACCCAGGUAAGAUGGUGGAUCCGAGCAUCAUGAAAUACUCCGCAAAAGUCCUACCUUUCAACUAUGACCAGAGCGUGUAUGGAUUUCGAGAGUAUUUUAACAAGUAUGGGUUCAAGUAUUCCGAAGCAAACUAG
rnacentral:rRNA from 1 species